GGUUCAAUCGGCUGCAAACACUUUACCGGAGAAGGUGGAAAUCACCCCAGAAGCACCAAAAGAAGUCAAGCCAGUAGUUGCUGCACCGGAGCCAGUGACUGAGGAGUCACCGGAAGAAACCUCAGUCGACGUUCCUACACCCGUGGAGGAGCCACAGCCACCCACCGCCGAAGUCCCACUUGAAACUGAAACCAAAGUGGUGGAGGAGGAGCCCAAAAGUGAGGUAGAACAAGAACCCACGACAGAGACAAUCGAUCAAGAAGAGGUGACGGCUGCUGAGGAAACCAAGGAAGAAACUCCGGCAACAACUGAGGCAGUCCCUGAAGACACUCCGGCGGCAACAGAGGCGGUACCUGAAGAAACUCCGGUGGUGACGGAGGAGCUCAAAGAAUCUGUGGAGGAAGAUGAAAAACCAGCUGAGGUUGUUGCAGCAGAGGAGUGAAGAUUGAAGAGAAAGAGAGAGAUGUUACUUUCUAUUUUUAGCAUGGUCGAUGUUUGGUUUCUUUUUUGUUAAAUCUUCAAAAGCAAAGUGGCAGUAGAUGAUUGGCUGAGAAGUGGGGGGCGCCGCUUUGGCUUUUGAGUUCUACAUUUCAAGAAGUUUUCGAUAUGAUUUAUUCUAUAUAUGUUUGCUUUUAAUUUUUGAAUAUCAAAAUGUAUUCGAUAUUUCAUGCAAAAUCCUCUCAAUCUUUAAAGUAGACAAAAAAAAAAGUCCC
rnacentral:lncRNA from 1 species